AUCAACUAAUUCACUGAAUAUAAUAUUCACUGGAGGGAGGGAGGCUUAUCAUUAAGUGGGUGCUCUGGCCAAGUCAGGGUCUGCUGAAAAAACAAAGUAAACUGACACUGAGGUCAGAGCAGGGCCAGACAAGAGACAACUGUGACCUAAAACAGUGUCAGGAACGUCACCAAAGGACAACAGUGCGGAGAAACCUAGAAGAAUUGCCACUUGACAAUUCACAACACAGAACUGAGACGUUCCGGGCUGUGCCAAAGUUCCGGGCACAUCUUUCCUUGCAGGAAGCCAAAGCUCCCUACAUAGGCCUGUCGGUUCCAGAACGCCUCAGGAAGGCAGGAAAUGGCUCAGAGGCAGGACCACGACCAUCUACGAUGUGAGAUCUCUGGCCUCUGGGUCUCCUGACUGCUAGGUCAGCACUCCAGCAGGCUCCUUGGGUGAGCCAGACCCCCAUCUACCAUGCUAUGGGACUGGUUUCACUUUCUAUCCUCAGAACUGUCUUCACUGACACCAAGAAGCAAACGACAGAGGGGUGGGUCUUCAGGAGACCCAGAAUAAAGAGAGCAAGUAGAGAGUUCAAACAUCCCUGAUACAGUUGAGCAGAAAAGAGACUAAGGAAGAACGAAAAGAGGAGAAGGACUCAGAUGAGACUUACAUUAAAAGAAGAAA